GAGAGCAACACGGGGAGCGCGAGCGAGCGGGCGAGCGAGAGACGGGGGGAGAGAGAGGGACACGCGCGCGCACACACACACACACCGGCACACACGCACACACACAGACACACACACACAGAGUGAAAAAGGCGAGCCACCAAAACCCAUCUCCAGUCUCCUCCCGGGGGCCCCCAGCCCGCCUCUGUGCCACUUUGCAUCCCACGCCGGAGGAGGCAUUAACGAGACCGGGUAAGGUGCUGUGCUGGCCAUUGGUGACCCAAAGAUGAUGAAAAAUAUGUUCCUGCCCACAAGGAGUUAGCGACCUACUGGGCUUUCCUCUUGCUGAUGACAUGAUUCCUGUUUGAAUCUGUUGACAAGAUUCUGAAAGCUGAACAGAGAAUUCUGGCACUGCACUGGGUAGGAAAAAGCAUUUCAAGAAAUAGAUAAUAUCAAGGACAUCAGGACACCGGGAGUGGGAGAGAUUGGACUGGGAGACUCAGCAGAAUCAUUCUAAUGGCGAGAUGCUUAUACAAUGAGAUGCAUAGGAGAUCUGAGACGAAUUCAACUACAAAUUCACAUCUCCUGUGUGAGCCAUGGGUGAGUUGAGUAGAAUGGUGGUAGAAUUAUAUGGGUUACAUUAACUACUUAGACUUUGUCCUAUUUUUCCUAUAUGAAAAUAGUUGAAAUUCUCAUAAAAAUGCAUGUAUGAUGUGAAACUGAAGUAUAAUGUACAGUCAGAUAAUUUUGAAUAUAUUUUGUGAAAUAGAUGUUUAUGAUUUAUAACAGCAGUAUUUUAAUUUCUAUGCAGCUUAAAUUGAUGCUUGGAUAGGGGAAAAGGAUGAAGAAGAAACUCAAUGGUAUGUUAACUGAGAGAAUGAAGUAAAGUGGCAUAGUAACGACAGUUAUAAAAGGGGCACUGCAUACCCCAUUGCUGUCAAGGGAUUGUAAACUUCCAGACUGGGCUAAACGAAUGCUGGGAAAGGUCUGUACAGCCACAACAAGUCCUUAGACUUAGGACUUAGAAGCUUAUUUGCAGUAGUUAUUUUAGGAGUUACAGGAUUCUGGGGACUAAUUCAUGUUAACUGAAUUUACAAGACAUAUAUAUAUUUAGUUGAGACAUUUAAUUACCAAGAUAACUAGAAAUCUCAUCAGUAGGAAGGUCUCCUUGGGCUGUUUGUUGCUAUGUUUAUGAAGAUGGUUUCAUGAACAUGGAGGGAGAAGCCGUAAAAUGGUUUUAACUAAUGACCAGGCAUGAUAGCUUAUUCCUUUGGGAAGCCAAGGCGAGAGGAUCCCUUGAGCCUUGAGCCUAGGAAUUUGAGACCAGCCUGGGCAACAUAAUAAGACCCCAUCUGUACAAAACAUUAAAAGUUACCUGGGCAUAACUUUUCCUAUAAUCCUAUAAUUCCUAUAAUCCCAGCUACUUGGGAGGCUGAGGUGGGAGGAUUGCUUGAGCCUGGGAGGUCGAGGAUGCAGUGAGCGAUGAUACUACCACUGCAUAACCUGGGCAAUGGAGUGAGGUCCCAUAACUUUUCUUUUCUUUUUUUUUUUUAAUAAAAAAAAAGAUUAUAAGGCCUAAUAUGCCUUUCUCUCCCUCAGAAGAGUUAAUUCAUUAACUCACAAUAGACCAGAAUACAGAUGCUCCUCAACUUACAAUGGGUGGGUUGACCUUUUGAUAAACACAUCCUAUCCUAAGUGGAAAAUGUCAGGAAUUGAAAAAGCAUUUAAUACAUCUAACCUAUGAACACCAUAGCUUAGCCGCACCUACCUUAAAUGUGCUCAGAACACUUACAUUAGCCUACAGCUGGGCAAAAUUAUCUAACACAAAGCCUUUUCAAAUAAAGUGUUGAAUAUCUCAUCUAAUUUACUGAAUACUGUACCAGAAUCAGGAGACACAGAUGGGCAUUUUGUAUACAUGAUGGGAUGCAAAAACACAAAAUACAAUAUCCGAAAAGCUCUGGCAACACAGUGCAUUGCAGAGUCUUAGUUGUUUACCCUCAUGGUUGCGUGGUUGACUAGGAGCUACAGCUCACUACCACUGCCUAUCAUCUCAAGGGAGUAUCCUACUACAUAUUGAUAGCCUGGGAAAAGAUCAGAAUUCAAAGUAUGAUUUCUAUUGAAUGCAUAUCAUUUUGUACUGUGGUAAAGCCAAAAAAAUUGUAAGUCGAACUAUUUUAAGUCAGGACCAUCUGUGUGCAAUGAAAUGUCAAGGUAACAUACCAGGGCACCUUUUCCAUGGAAAGUGUUACAAAAAUUGAUUCUUCUCCUUUGGUUCUUUUGCGUUUUGGUUUUCUAGAUACUGUUCGAAUAUUUAAAGAGUGCUCUACAAUGUUAAAUGUUUAUUUAGCUCACAGUUUAAAGAACUUCAGUUAGUUAUGUUUUAGUUUCCUUGAUAACAUUUGAGAUAUCUAAUUAGAGGUAACAAGCCCGCUGAUAUCAUUUUUAUGUGACCAACCAUUUCUCUGUCAUUUUUUCUGCAGAUGGUAAAUCCCAUAUAUUUUACCUUGAUUUUGUAUCAAAUUCUAUUUCAGAUGGUUAUAUAUACUGAAAUCGUCCUCCAAUUCUGUUUCUAUCUAUCUGGAACUUGUCAAAGAUGGGUAUCAUGGGGGAAAACAUGGCUUUGAAGACAGGCAGACUUAGAUGAAUACACUAGCUGAGUGAUCAUAGGACUAUUGCUUGAUCUCUGUCUUAGUUUCUCCAUCUGUGCAAUAGAAAUAAUUCAUUCUACUUUAUACAGUAGCAUAUAGAACAAUGCCUGGCACUUAGCAGGUGCCAGACAACUUAGCUUUCUUUUCUAUAAAAGGUUUUUAGGAGGAAAACAAGAUUUUUUUUUAUCUAAAAUACUUUUCACAAGGGUUUUUAACCAAAGGGCCAAAUCUGGCCUACAUAAUGUUUGUAAAAAUCAUAUUUGAAGUAAUUGCCAACUUUAAACAUCAGUAACUGUCACAUAAAAAUCUGUAUUUCUCACUUAUCUUGAAAAAGUGUAUUUUCUGGCACAGAGCUUCCCCAGUUCUGCUUGGAACUCCAGGCAGAAGCUGAGUAUUGGCUGCUGCUUUGGACACAGCAUUUGCUAAACAGCUCACUGCAGUGCUUUGAAUGACUUCUCUAGGCCUCUGCACCUGGAACUUCUUCACUAUGUUACCCUUUUCCUAAUGAAUCUUCAUUUCAUGAUAUUUUCACCAAAGAACAAUAGAAUCUGUAAAAAUAAAUACUUGCAGUGCUUAAAUGGGAAAAAAAAAAAAAAAAAAAAAGUCAAGCUCUUGUUUUGUUACUCUAAGGUGUUUGUACUUUCCAAACUGAAAGUUGGCCGAUGGGAUCUCAAGAUGACACUGAGUGUUUGGAACUGAGACUUCUGUAAAGAAACUUUGUUACUGUGGUUCCAAACCACAUGGACACUCAAUUAAUGCUGUUGACUGAUGACUGUGAAUUUUCAAGUGUUUUCAGUUUCACUGCCUUUGUCCUGGACUGCCCUGGAGAGUGGUAGCAAUGACACACUGUUUGGAAAAUUAAAGUGCUAUGUUCAUCCUUGAAACAAAUGGCAAAGCUAUUCAGGAUUGGUAUUAUUCUGAUGUUUUGGUAAGGAUCCUAUUGAAACACACACACUAAAACAAAGUCCUGGGUCAAUUAUCGCAAUGCAUCUUUUGAAUGAGAAAGACUCAAUGACUGGUUUGACAAGAGCCUAGUGACCCUGUGAGUGUUAUUAAUUUUAUUAUCCCAAGUGGUUUGACAAGAGCCUAGUGACCCUGUGAGUGUUAUUAAUUUUAUUAUCCCAAGAGAAUAACGAAAAUAGGACCUAUUGUUUAGCUCUCAAGCUAAAAUUUUAUACCAUUAUCUAUAUGAGCACUAUCUGAAGAGUCUCCCACAGAAUAUACUUAUGGGAGAAAGAGUUGAGUACAGUCAUAACUUUAAUAUAAAAACAACCCUUUAAAUAUGAAAAUAGUAGCAUGGCUCUAAGUCCAAAAUGUAGAGAGACGAUUAUGGAGAUAGAAACCUUGAGAUCUAUUUCUAGAUUAUCCUGGCACUCAGGCUCCUAUGAUUUUCUGUUUAGACAAUACCCCAUAAAGUAUCACAGUGAAUUUAAACAUCACAUUUGCAUUUUCUAGGGUAUUUAUGAUGAUUUUUCUGAGUGUACUUUCUAGAUGAGACAUAGAAAUAUGGUGGUUAAAAGGGGUCUUUGGAAUUAGAUUGCUUAUAUUUGAAGUCAGGCUCUGACAUGUAUAAGCCAGCUAUGGGAUCUUAAGCAAGUUUUCUACCCUCUACAUUUCUUCAGUUUCCUCAGCUAAAAAAUGCAGGUAGUAAUAGCACCUCCCUAAUUAUGUGAGUGAGAAGAAUGAGUGAGAUAAUGUUAAUAAUCCCUUAGCCCAUAAGAAAGGCCCAAGCAAUGCUGUUAUUUUGUUCUUACCUUGGUUUAAGAUGUAUUUCAAACACAACAUGGAUUUGAAUAAAGAAGUGACCUGUGAUUAUUCCAUUCAGUUACCAAAUCUAAACUAAAUUGAUGACAAAAAAAAAAAAAAAAAACAAAAAACAAAACUUGACUGCUCUGAACAUAGUAUGAAGUACUACAAAUUACCACAUCCUAAAACAAUGCUUUGGUCUAUUGGUGGACAAGUAAUCAUCAGAAAUAAGCUGUUUGUCUAUAACCUGAAGCUGCAGAUCCAGGGACUAGAGUGUUAGGAGGGAUGGGGAAUUCAAAAUAUGGGAAAUCCAGGACAUCUAAGUUCAAGAUUCUCUUGGACUUCCACUUCGCCACCACAUCUUUGCCCCUAGUGCAAUGUAUGUAAGAAAAUACCAGGAACAGGAGCAGACUCCCACUGCAGUGAGGAGCUUGGAUGUAGCAGUGGACUGUCUUCAUUUAAACUCAAACCCUCUUUAGUCCAUGGGUCAUAGACCAUAUGAUUAUUUGCACCAGCCAUACAAUCACAUUGUAGGCAAUUUGCUCAUUGUAGCGGGCUUCUUAAACCACAGCAGGCUGUAAUGACAUUCACAUGUGGCCAAUGAUUUAGUUUAAGACAAAGUACUAUGUAUUUAAAUAUUAUUUAACAUAUACUGUUUCUCUACUCAUCUUUGAAAACUUAAAUGUGUGUGCUUUAUACUGUAAAUGUACUCCCCCACCCCGACAUUUUUAUCUUUGAAUUUUGUUUUGUUUUGUUAUUUUUUUUUCUUCCCCAAAACAGGGUCUCGUCCUGUUACCCAGGCUGGAGUGCAGUGGUAUGAUCAUGGCUCACUGCAGUCUGAACUUCCUGGGCUCAGGCGAUUGUCCCACCUCAGCCUCCCAAGUAUCAGAGACUACAGUCAUGCACCACCACACCCAGCUAAUUUAUAGUUUUUGUAGAGAUGGGAUUUCAUCAUGCUGCCCGGGCUAGUCUUGAACUCUGGAACUCAAGUAAUCUGUUCACCUCAGCCUCCCAAAGUGUUGGAAUUACAGGUGUGAGUCACUGUACCCAGCCUUAUCGUUUAGAUUUUAAUCUCAAUUUUUGCUGUCUCAAGAGUUUCAUUUUUUUUUUAAUGGAUCUUGAUGGGCCUUGCCUUGAGAAGAGAAACUAGCCCACUUCAUGAUAGAGGAGUCAUUGCCCAGUUGGCUGUUCGGGUCCCUUUUGUAAGAGAGGCCCCUAGAUACAAAAUCUGUGGCAUUAGGGAAGCCCUCUCUAGUGAAAACCAUUUUUAUUUUUAGUACAGUCAGGAGAUAAUGAUAAUACCCAUUCCUUAUUUUCUUGAUGUAUCUUACAGUCCAUACUCUGGUCUAAGGCAGUUGGCCCCUCUCGUGUUGGCUCCACAAAUCUUGUGUCUUUGUGUAGAGCCCACUGGAGAUGGACAGGGAAUGAAUGUGAGGAAUAUGGAUAGAGGUAUAUAGAUCUACAGAUAUACACACACAUACAAAUAAAAUAUAUAUGACAUAGAUGAUAUAUAUGUAGUCUAUUUUAUAGAUUAUAAGUGGCAUUUUAUAACCUAAGGAUACAAGGGAUGAGGGUGUGUCUGUGUGUAUUUGUGUAAGACUGUAGAUCUUUGCUCCCAGCGUGCAUGCACUGUGCUUACUGCACAGGAAGCUGACAGUUUCUCCACCCUUGUGGAAACAGAGCUUCUGAGAGUAGAGUACUGCUUCCAGAGAAACACUGUCACCCCAAAUAUCCAUCGUACUUUUUUGGUAUGUCCCAGUUUUAUUUUUGUUUUGGGUUGCUUUUCUCUUUUAUGGGGUUCCCCACUUAGAUAUUACACAAUCCUUAUAGUUGAACUGAAAAUACUAUGUGCAAAACUGCUGGAAAAUUGUUCCCACUACAUGAAAGAUGUUAGAGGACUGAAUAACAUGGAUGCCAAAAAGACAAAAUAUGAGGUGAAGCGAAGGAAUAUUUAACUUUAAUUGCCAUGUACAGUAUGAUUCCAAAUAUAACUAACAAAUGUUGAAAAUAUUUGCAUGCUCCAUGUAGUUUUCGGACAACUCUGGAAUACACUUCUGAGCUUUGAGGUAAGGCCCUGUGAAGGGAUGCCUCAUAAUCAAAACAUAGCUUUUAGUCUCUGUACAUGAACUUCCAGAAGUAUGACUUGUCAAGAAGACUGGCUGCAAGGUACCCCCUUCCUGUUUCUGCACUUUUCUUUUUGUGGCUCUGUAAUCUUGUUCAUUGGGUGCUUGGUGAUUAUUUUCUCCAUUAAGCAGUGUCCCUUUUCUUUUCUUUUUUUUUUGAGAUGGAAGUUCACUCUUGUGGCCCGGGCUGGAGUGCAACGGCACAAUCUUGGCU
rnacentral:lncRNA from 1 species